GCAUCGCGUACACCACGCCUUGUGAUUAUCGUUUCGUCAGUAGCGUAGUAGAAGCCAGUCUCUCAUUAGUACAAUGCUCCUGUCGUGUCGGCGUUCUCUCUUCGAUUUUCGCUACACAAUAUAUAUCUGGAUAGGCGCUACGCUGCCUGGACGAAAAUAAGGGUGUAUCGCAGCCCGGGAAAAUUGACCCAAAAUCCGCGAGGGCAGCACCAAAUUGGCUCCGACCACGCUCCGACGGAAUCUCGAGUUACGAGAGAACACCAGAGAGCGCACAUGUACACGAGCAGGCGAAACAGGACACCCCACCGCGAUUCGAGACGCUCACGGAGAUAUUCUCGUACUCUUCCAACACCCUUCAAACAAAAAGAAUACAAUAUUGCUUUUACGAUUUUUUAUCUCAUUUUUUGCCGUUCUUUUAUUUUAUAGUUUGUCUAAGUUUCUCGGAUUUUUUUGAAAAACACGUCAAACACCAUUUUCAUUGAUUUGAAAUAAAGUUCAUUUUCAAAACGUCGACAGCUUCAGACUACGAAAAAAAAUUGCCCACUCAAGUUGAUUCGUUUUUUUCAAAUCUUUCUAAACAAUGAAAAUAUUGAGCUAUAUUCGAACUAUUUUUGUCAGAUACGUUCGGACGUCCCAUGUGGCAACAAAGUUUUGUUUUCAGUGCACCGAAGUGGAAGUAAUGCUGAGGAUCAUGUGACUGGAAUAUACCGGGGCCCUACCGAACGUUUGAGGCGAUCAUUUAUGUACGAAAACAACGAUGCGAUAUCUUCACGGGUUCUUCUUUUUGCCAUACAGCAACAGCAGCAGCUCACGAGGUCGUGACAUGUAUAGAUAUAGCACGCUGCUCUUGCCCUCAGUGUACGCGUGAAUGUAUUGAAAAGACUUUAUUUCCAAGUUCCACAAACAAAGAAGUCUCAGCAAAACUAAGGAAAACAGUGGUGGAUGGAGAAAAGGAUCGAGAACGUUGAAAAUACGAUUGCGAAGGAACGUUUCGUCGGGAUGCUCGAGACCAAAGUGAGGAAAGACUCGGAACUCGACAAUUUGCUCCGUG